rnacentral:rRNA from 1 species
GACGAACGCUGGCGGCGUGCUUAACACAUGCAAGUCGAACGGAAAGGCCCUGCUUUUGUGGGGUGCUCGAGUGGCGAACGGGUGAGUAACACGUGGGUAACCUGCCCUUGACUUUGGGAUAACUUCAGGAAACUGGGGCUAAUACCGGAUAGGAGCUCCUGCUGCAUGGUGGGGGUUGGAAAGUUUCGGCGGUUGGGGAUGGACUCGCGGCUUAUCAGCUUGUUGGUGGGGUAGUGGCUUACCAAGGCUUUGACGGGUAGCCGGCCUGAGAGGGUGACCGGCCACAUUGGGACUGAGAUACGGCCCAGACUCCUACGGGAGGCAGCAGUGGGGAAUAUUGCACAAUGGGCGGAAGCCUGAUGCAGCAACGCCGCGUGCGGGGUGACGGCCUUCGGGUUGUAAACCGCUUUCGCCUGUGACGAAGCGUGAGUGACGGUAAUGGGUAAAGAAGCACCGGCUAACUACGUG